rnacentral:tRNA from 1 species
GCGGUACUAGUGUAGGGGUUAUCAUAAUUCGUUGUGGCUACGCAACGUCCGAAUUGACCCAGGUUCGAUUCCUGGGUACCGCA